rnacentral:rRNA from 1 species
UGGUGCAUGGUUGUCGUCAGCUCGUGUCGUGAGAUGUUGGGUUAAGUCCCGCAACGAGCGCAACCCUCGACCUUAGUUGCCAGCAUUCAGUUGGGCACUCUAAGGUGAACUGCCGGCUAAAAGUCGGAGGAAGGUGGGGAUGACGUCAAAUCAUCAUGCCCCUUAUGACCUGGGCUACACACGUGCUACAAUGGGCGGUACAAAGGGUCGCGAACCCGCGAGGGGGAGCCAAUCCCAAAAAGCCGCUCUCAGUUCGGAUUGCAGGCUGCAACUCGCCUGCAUGAAGCCGGAAUCGCUAGUAAUCGCGGAUCAGCAUGCCGCGGUGAAUACGUUCCCGGGCCUU